GUCGGAAUAGUUUAGUCGGGUAGAACAGCGGGAUCAUAAUUCGCACACGGGGGUUCGAAUCCCUCUUCCGAUA
rnacentral:tRNA from 1 species